UAAUGGCAGGUCAGCAUACUGCCGUGAAUACGUUCCCGGGCCCUUGUACACACCGCCCGUCACACCAUGAGAGUUGGGGAUACCCGAAGCCUGUGAGCUAACUUAUAGAGGCAGCAGUCGAAGGUAGAAUCAAUGAUUGGGGUGAAGUCGUAACAAGGUAUC
rnacentral:rRNA from 1 species